GGGGGUGUAGCUCAGUGGUAGAGCGCAUGCUUUGCAUGUAUGAGGCCUCGGUUCGAUCCCCGACACCUCCA
rfam:Homo sapiens chromosome 6 genomic contig, GRCh38 reference assembly alternate locus group ALT_REF_LOCI_5.